rnacentral:lncRNA from 1 species
UAGCUAAUUUUUGUAUUUUUAGUAGAGACAGGGCUUUACCAUGUUGACCAGGCUGAUCUCGAAUGCCUGACAUCGUGAUCCACUCGCCUUGGCCUCCCAAAGUGCUGGGAUUACAGGUGUGAGCCACCGCGGCCGGCAACCCUGUCAUCCUUAAUCCAGCCUCCGACUUGGAGUUUCAACACAUGGACUCUGGGCAAUAUGGUUGCCCUGAGUAGCAGAAAAGAUUAAAAAGAAAAAAAAAAGGGAAAGGAGAGAGAAAAAAGCAUUGCCUGUGGCAGGGUGGGGAAGGCAAAAUGCUCAGAGAGGCCAGAGAAAGACCCACCCAUUGCAGCAACACUGAAAAGUUCAGGUGUCUGCGGCUGCUGUCAUGAAGGUAUCUUUUCCGGCAGUCGCAUCAGCUCUCAAGUUUCCCCUUAUAGGGAGGAAAAAGCUCCCCAUGACCCACGAUCCUGUACAUACCUAAUCCUGUCACCCACAGCCAUCAGCAAAGAAUGCAAGGCAGAUUAAUACAAAGAGCGUAGCCUGCAGUGCCAAACCCCUUUUAGUUGAGAGGUAGACUUUACUGAGAGGGGUCUCUAACCCCCUAAAUCUUAGAAGGGACUCUAACCCGCUGUUAGUCAAGCAUCCUUGCCUUUUAUUAAGAGGGGCCUCUAAACUACUCUGUCUUAGGGGAGACUCUAACUCCCCUAAGUUGGGUCUCUAACCCAAUCCCAUUCUUUACCUGGGUACCCCACCACUUACCCAAAGUCGUCCAAUCACUGCUGGAGUCUAUUUCCUUUGGGUCAGGGGGUCUCCUCGGUAUUGCCCCUUUUGUGGUUUGCAAGAUAGAUGUUACCAGACCCCACUACUUACCCAAUGUUAGCCUUUGGGUCGGGAGUUCCUGCAGUAUAGUCACUUCCCUGGUCACCAGAAAGAUGUUACAGGACCCCAACAUUCACCCAAAGGUAGCUGUUGGGUCAAGGUUUCUGCACUAUAGUCUCUUCUGUGGUCACCAGAAAUAUGUUUCAGGAAAGGGGGUCCCGAUCCAGGCCCCAAGAGAGGGUUCUUGGAUCUCACGCAAGAAAGAAUUCAGGGCGAGUCCACAAUGCAAAGUGAAAGCAAGUUUAUUAAGAAAGUAAAGGAG